ACCUGCUCAGUUUUAUGCUCAGAGCAUGAGAUUCUUAAUCUCAGGGUCAUGGGUACAAGCUGCAUGUUGGGCAAAAUAUAGCAGCAGGUUAGACUAGAAUCAGGCAUGUCCAAAGUCCGUUUCAGAGGCCUAACACAGCCGGAUGGUCAGUUUAAUCCAGCCCCCAUGGCAGUUUAUUUCCUGGGGUAAAAUCCUAAAAAACCUCAACAACUUCAAUCCUAAAGAAAAGUUAACAACUUUGGUUGGCCCUUUGGUCGGCCCUCACGGCCCUUCUCUUCAUCAAAUCUGGCUCUCUUUGAAAAAAAUUUGGACACUACUGAAGGGUUAAAGUCAAAGAGUUCAAUGGAAGCAGAGAAGGGGGUGCUGGAUGUCAGCAGUUUCAUUCUCUCCCGUGCUGCAGAGUGUGUGUGACUACUGGAUCACAUGCUCUCUGUGCUGACAUUCCAUUCUUUGGAAGCGAGGGAACAGAAGGAACUGUGCGCCACUUCCGUCUUCUUUGUUCUGUGUUCUGUUCUGUUGUUCUCUCUCGGCCACCCUUCAUGGCGCUUCCGUUGGAAAAGGGGCGUGAUUUAAAUAGCCCAGUCACCCCGCCCCUUCCCAUUGUGCCCUGCCUCGUUCCCUGCAAGGGUUCAGGUGAGUGCCAAAUGCUUUGGGGCGCAGCAAACUUUUCGGAGGGGGGGGACUGGGGUGAGGAUGCAAUGCUAGUGGGAUGAUGGAGGGGGAGAUAGCAGGCAGGGAAGCUGCUGGGCAGGUGGGGGAGGGAGAGAGACCACCCCAAAUGAAGGGAGGUGGGUGUGCAGCCGAGCUCCCCCUCAUUUCAAGUAUUCCGGGCUGAAAAAUGUCCCCCACAUGCCCUCCUGUGUUUGAAAUUCUAGAAUAAGAAACUGCCUCUUUCCCCUCAGCUGCUAUGUCUCUUUGUGACAUCACAGGAGACCACCCAUAGACAAGGCUGGGGAAACUAGGCCUCAAGGGGGGGUGCAUUUAUAAAUAAACAAAAGGUAACCGAGGAGCCCCCCCCUUGUGACACGUGUGGCAUGUGGACUCCAUGGCACCCUAAGAUACCCUCCUUAGCACCCACCAAGGCCCCCUGACCCUCCCAUUUUAAAAAAGUUUCCCCAAAAUCUGUUAGUUUUUACAGUGCUGCAAAACCAUUUGUUUUGGCAGUUGAGGAAUUGGUAUUAUUUAUUUAUUUUUCCCUUUGUGAGAGAUAAACAAACUGGUUCCUUUGAAUUAAGGUCUCUGGAUCAUUUUAAAAUAAAGUGAUCUGGACAAAAUGGGUCAAAUUAGGAAAGCUUUUUAUUAUACACACUUCCAAGUGGGGUAACCCAAGAUCAGGCACAUCUUCUUCAGGAAAAACACAUCUUAUAAAGUUGCUUCACUGGCCGCAAGUACCUCCUUCCACACCCACAGGAAGGGGCAUACCAGUUUACAGAGGUAUUACGUAUACCUCAUUAACAUUUUACCAUUCCACUUCCCAUGUUAAUCAGAAUACAAUACAAUACAAUACAAUACAAUACAAUACAAUACAAUACAAUACAAAUACCUUUAUUGGCAUUUCAAGUUAAGAAAUUUCAAAAUGGCUUGAGCUACAAAGUCUGUCUUCUUCCUGUUUCCUUUUUCUGAGAGAUUUGAAUGGGGAAAUCCUUUCGAUUCUUCAUGAAUAAGAGGCAGUGGGGUGAGGGAGGCCAGGGCCACAUCCACACCAUUUAAAGCGCUAUGAAGCCGCUUUAAACACUCAUGGCUUCUUCCCCCAAAGAAUCUGGGAGCUAUAGUUUGAAAAGGGUGCUGAGAGUUGUUAGGAGACCCCCUGUUCCCUGCCAAGAAGGGAACCCUACCCCUACCCCUACCCGUAACCCUACCCCUGACACUAACCCUAACCCUAACUCUAACCCUAAUGCUAACCCUUAACCGUUAACUAGAGCUACAAUUCCCAGAGUUCCCUGCCAAGAAGGAAACCCUACCCCUACCGCUACCACUACCCCUGACGCUAACCCUAACUCUAACCCUUAACCCUUAACUAGUGCUACAAUUCCCAGAGUUCCCUGGCAAGAAGGGAACCCUACCCCUAUCCCACCCAUAACCCUACCCCUACCCUAGCCUAACCCUAAGACAACCGUAACCCUAACCCUAAAUCUAAUCCUAACUCUAAUCCUAAUCCUAAUCCUAAACCACUCUAACAACCCUCCGUCCCCUUAACCACCUACAGUUCCCAGAAUCCCUGGUGGGAAGCCAUUCCUGUUUAAAUCGUCUUCAUAGCACUUCCAAUGGUGUGCCUAAUGUGGCCUAAUGUUCCCUCCCUCAUUUUCUUCUCUCUCCCCACUGCCCCAUCACUUGCAAUGCAGCAGAUGUCCGCCUGCAGUCUCCCUUCAAAGCUCCUUCUCUCGGGUAUGGCCACGGCCUUGUCCAUUGCUCACUGCCCGUAUUUCACGUUCAUUUCUCUGAUGUAAAUAGGGACGUACUGUGGUUCUCUUCAUGACUUUGAAGGCUGGACUUGGGGAAAACCUCACCGGCUCCAGACAUCCCUGUAAGGCAAAGGCAAACAGGUGAGUGGGAUGGGCCCCAUCCGACAGCGUCCCCCCAGACUCCUCCUCUGUUUGGCUGUCUGUUCACAAACAAGGCUUCCAAACUAGUUUGCAUCCAUCUCAGCCAGCGUAGUCUCGCGGCAUCCAAUGGCCUGAAUGCAAACUCUUCUGACAACCAUCCACCAGCUGCAGCCCUGCCAGGUCCAUUGCCAGACAUCAGCCAGCUUCAGAGCUGAAUAUCAAUUGCCUUCUAGUAUCGAUCCCACCAGCAAGUAAACUUUGUACUUGCCUUCUCCUUGCUCCACAGCACCCCAGCACCGGGCGAUUGCCUCCUUCUGCUUGCCAGCUUGCUGCCAUGGGGCAGGAGACCACCUGGGCUGAGUGCCACCAAGUUGCCCAUUUCUCUCUGGGGAGGGCAACUUCCCAGGCUUGCACAUUGGCCCACAUUUAUACCUGCUUAGCUGCCAAAUGUUUUUGUCACAUCACAGUCAACCCACAGACAAUGGCAGCAGCUGGGGUGGUAUCACCAUCACCCCCUCAGCCCUCACAAUGGUGAGCGCAGCUCAGCAGCCAACCCCCCCCCCCCAGUUGUGCCAAUAUCUAUGAAGGCCACACUGGAAACCCAAGGGACAGGAGGGGGACAUUUUUCAGCCCAGUGGUUGCAUUUCCCUCCACACAACACUAGUCAAAUGCACAAAUGAACAGAGCAAUGAAAGCAAGCCUUAUCUUGGCACAGGAAACUGUUCAAGAAAAGACCUGCAGAGAGAAAGUUAGCCUCUCGGGGAAAAAAACACUUUUUCAUCAAUCAGUCAGUCAUUUAUUGUAUGUGACUAAAAGCCAUUACAAAUCCAGUUACAAAAGCACCAAACCCAAUGACCCAAACUAUAGCUCCCAGAUUCUUUGGGGGAAGAAGCCAGGUGGAUGCCAUGUGAACUCAGCGAUGUGUCAAGUGAUGGCUGCAUACUACCUCCAGGUUCAGAGGCGGCAUAUUUCUGUAUAUCAGUUUCUGAGAAUCACGAGGGCUGUGGUGGUCAGAUUCUGCUUGCAGUUUUUGCACAGACAUCUGUGAGAAUAAGAUGCUGAACUUGGGCCACUGGUCUGAUCCAGGCAGCUUUCUUAUGUUACAAAGGAAGACUUCCAAGAGAAUACUUUUAAUGUAGCACUCCAAGAAAUGCUGCAAGUUUCAGAAAGUUACAUAACGCACUCCAAAAAUAGAAAUUUUGAAACCAUUUCAGUACUGUGUCAUUUUACUAUUUUUCUCCAUCUCUUAUCUGAACUAUGUACUUGCAGUUUCUUUGAGUAUGUUUUUUCCAAUUUAUUUUUAUUUGAUAGCCAUUUCUCCCUUUCUGAGGAAGGAACAAAAACAUUUGUAGUUCUCAGUGUCCCUGACUUAAGAGUCUGACUCCUCUGCCAUGCCUACCAAGCGCUCACUGGCUGGUGUGCCUUUCCACUGUAGGGAGAUCAGAAGAGGACCGUUUCAUUGGCAGAGGCCUAUAUGAAACGAGCUUGCUAUUCAGACACAAGGAUAUUGUUUCAGUCAUUUAUUCUUAUUUUUAAUUACUUAGCACCACAGGCAGCUCUCUCCAAAAAUGGCAAAGGCUACAAUCCCACCUACAUGGGAGGAACCCCUACUGAAUUCAGUAGGACUUACUUCCAAGUAGGCAUGGGUGCAACAGUGCUGCAAGGCUCUCUCCCUCCUUCUCCUGCAACAUAAAAGAUGGGCAUGUACCCCAAUAAAUUCUCUUUAUGCUGAAGAUCAGCAAAACUAUGCAAAUCCUGCUAUUUUCCAACCCAAGCUACACCUGAAAUAUGGUUUCCCUGCUCUCUAGUAAAUGCAUUUCAGAAAAAUAGAACAUGAGCAUGCUUGUUUUUAACUGAGGAUUUCACAUCAGGCAAAGCUGCAUUGUGUCUUUGUAUCUGUGCUUCAUACAUAGCUUUUUUAUUUUUUAGGCAGUGGCAUACGGCUACAAGCCACAAAUAUUUAUGAUAAAUUAUUUCAAGUCUGCCUUCACAUUGAGUUCAUGCAGCUGCCCAUGUCAGGAAAUUCUUGUGCCACAUAAAGAAAACAGUGUUGAGAUUUCAAGCUUUAGGUUUUAUUAGGUCCCAACAAGCUCUGUUGCAAAACAUGAUUUGGUGUAUGUUUUUCUUACAAAGAUGUACUCCUUGCUGUCUGCCUCUUGUCACGUUUCUCUGCCUGGCUGGUACAAAAAGAGCAACCCAGAGCCUUGGAACAAGCUGGGACCCAAUGACCAGUACAAGGUAUGGUAUGAAAUACUUAACUAGGGUUAUGAUGCUGGUUAUCCUAAAGGCCAGGGAUGGGAAGCCUGGUGUCCAGCAGAGAUUGUUGGGACUCCAACUUCCACCAGCCCCAUCCCUAAUGUCUAUGGAUGAAGGGCAAAUAAUAAUAAUAAUAAUGGCCAUUUGGUGGGAAGUAUAAUAAGCUUCAGCUUUGGAAGGCCCGGGGUAUGUGAUCACAGCAUUUUGGGGUUGGGCUAGAUGACCCUCGGGUCCCUUCUAUAAUUCUUCACUCUCCUCUUCAGUUCAAUCUUCUAAACUCUGACUGAAUAAGCAUGAUGGAUCCCUGAUUCUGCCAUUGACUUGUGAUUCUUCCUGAAAAAUGUCUUUUAAGCCCAUUAAAGCUGAAUGAUUAGAGAUCCUUUCCUUCCAUUGAAGCAAAGGGGUAUAGUUUCUGUGUAUGCGAGGCAGAAGAAUCGUAAUAUUAUCUGCCUGUUUAGGGAUCCUAGGCACUUAGUAAGUUUCUUGCAGUUCAGCUCUGAAAAAACUUCCUUGUGUCUUGCUCUCAGCCCCAGCAGCUGAUUUUCGGGGGGGGGGGGGGCAGGUGUAGUUGAGUAAGGAUAAACAAUGAAAAUGAGGUGUCUGGACUUGCAUAAUGUCACCGUUUGGGUACAGCUUGAGCUGUUAAAAGGUUUAAGGGCUUGUUCUGUGAGUUCAAAAGCUUUCAAUGCAAUCCAGAGAAGAAUUAAGCCUUGCUUGAGUCCACCGAAAUAAAAACCUAAAACAGAGCACUUCAGAUGGGUGGGAUAUAAAUAUUAUGAUUAUUCUAGGCUUUCACAAAAUGUUCUUUCACCAAACGACUGAGACCUAAAGGAAAACAAAAGCUUUGUUUGGGCUUCAAUGUUUAAAUAAUGACCUCACACUUUCUGUUUGUCUGCCAUGACGAUCGGCUGUGCCAAUUAAACCGGAGCCCUUCCGUGCUGGUAAUUGAGGAUAAUAUGGGAGUAAUUAUCCUCUCAACCCUCCCAGGGUGGGGGGGGCACUCCACCCACAGAUCGUCCAAUACCUUCUGCCCAUCCAGAAGGAAGAAGGGGCAGGGGGUGCUGGGUGUAAGCCGCAUGGUUGUGACAACUAUCCAAAGCCGGUGCCAUGAACAAAGGACACCUGUUUUUUAAGAUAAAAAUUUGGAGUUAACUAACAGGCAUGCUCUGAACCAGUGGAGAUAAAAUAACUUGCUAAUUUAAUCAGCCACUGAGAAGGAUUUGAUCUGGCGAAAGACUUUUGUCGGGACCAAAACACAAUGGCUUGAAAUGCUUAAGUGGAUGCUAUCUUAAUUACGAAAUGGACUGUGUGAAAUUUUGACUAUGAUUCUGGCAGUGAUUAUUAAAGGAAAGAUGAAAGGAAUCCCUGAUGGAGCUAUCAUUUCAGUGUGGAGGCAUCAUCUCAUUAACAGCUAGAAGAAGGCCAAGACAGAGUUUUGGAUAUCUGCCUGAGAUUAAUAGUGGACUAUGACUCAGGUGGCGCUGUGGUCUAAACCACAGAGCCUAGGGCUUGCCGAUCAGAAGGUCGGCGGUUCAAAUCCCCACGAUGGGGUGAGCUCCUGUUGCUUGGUCCUAGCUCCUGCCAACCUAGCAGUUCGAAAGCAUGCCAAAAAGUGCAAGUAGAUAAAUAGGUAUCGCUUCAGCGGGAAGGUAAAUGGUGUUUCUGUGCGCUGCUCUAGUUUCAGUGUUCAUUUGCACCAGAAGUGGCUUAAUCAUGCUGGCCACAUGACCCAGAAAAACUGCCUGCAGAUAAAUGCCAGCUCCCUCAGCCUGUGAAGCGAGAUGAGCACCGCAACCCCCGAGUCAUCUGUGAAUGGACUUAACUGUCAGGGGUCCUUUACCUUUUUUUUUUAAUGAUGCAGUUAAAAUACCUCUGUGUGUAGAAAAUGAAACUAAAGAUCACCGAGGAGCAGAAACAACAGUACAAAGGACUGACCCACUCGCUGAAUUAAUUGAUGGAUUAAUUGUAUAGCCCCAGGGGGAGGCGAGCCUUUUUUAUUCUCCUUUGAUAUAUAUGUAUUUGCAGUUUUACCUGGUAAACCUCCCCCGAAAGGUAACAGUUUGAAAUACUCAAGUGGGUUUGAAAGAAUACUGCUGCUAUCUCCUCAGUGGAAGGAAGGAAAAAAUUAUGAACUGGAGCUACUUUGUUUUUGCAGAGGUAACAGCAUUUUGAAUCCCCGCGACAGGGCGAGCUCCCGGUGCUCGGUCCUUGCUCCUGCCAACCUAGCAGUUCGAAAGCAUGUCAAAGUGCAAGUAGAUAAAUAGGUACCGCUCCGGCGGGAAGGUAAACGGCGUUUCUGUGCGCUGCUCUGGCUUGCCAGAAGCGGCUUAGUCAUGCUGGCCACAUGACCCGGAAGCUGUAUACCGGCUCCCUCGGCCAAUAAAGCGAGAUGAACACCGCAACCCCAGUUGGCCACGAUUGGACCUAAUGGUCAGGGGUCCCUUUACCUUUUUACCAGCAUAUUGGGAGAUGGUGCGAGACUAGGGAGGGGAAUUCUGGAUGGCUGCCUGGAGCUAAUGGUGUCUUUUUUGUCUGGGACUGUGAGGUAUUAUGGCUCCUGUUGAAAAUGGAAUUGCUGGAAUGUGAACAACAGGGAGGAAAAUAUUUCACACAGAACUAUGAAGAUGAAAGUUUGAACAGACCAGUGAUUGUAAAAAUAAAUGAAAAUUAAGUGAAGGAUUAAAAUUGGAAUGGUUUAUUGACUAAUUAAGAAAUGCAAUGUGAUAUUAGAUUAUUAGAACUCCACGAAAUUCAGAGCUUGGGAAGCCACCCAAAGAUAUAUAAUUUGGCAUUUAUAUUUGGCUUUUUUGGGUUGUAUUGUAAUCUGAUAUGUUUUAAUGUGGUUCUUUUUGGAUUAUUAAAAUGGAAAACUUAAUAAAUAUUAUAUAC